UGAUAACUGAUUGAAUCUUCUUACACUAUUUAGUCAUUCUUUGGUGAAUCCAAGAAAACCAUAGUGCUAGAAUGUUGAUGUUAAAAGUUUAUAUUGAUCCCAUCAGGCAAUAUCAUCAGGAUGGCUGCACAAAUGAACCCUAAGGAUCAAUUUUCCAAGCUACAUCCGGGCUUCCCUGUGAAAACGAGAAUCGCAAUAGUAGGAGGUGGUCCUAGUGGAUUAUCAGCUGCCUACGCGCUGUGUAAACUCGGUUAUAAUAAUGUAACCGUGCUGGAGAAACAUCACACAGUCAGUGGAAUGUGUUUAUCUGUUGAUAUAGAAGGAAAGAUUUAUGAUCUUGGUGGACAAGUCCUUGCAGCCAGUAGCUCUCCCACAAUCUUUCACUUGGCAAAUGAAGCUGGUUCGGAAUUGGAAGAAAUGGAUUCCCACAAACUUGCAUUAAUUGAUAGUUUCACAGGGAAGUAUGAGGACAUCCAGGUUGCAGAUGACUAUGUUUCUGCAGUCUCGCUCACAUUAGAUCUCCAGGUCAGUUUCUUUUGCUGUUAGUAGAUGAUCUGUCUCUUAUUCUCAGUACUCAGUUCACACAGAGAGAAGCUAAAAUCAUAAUGUUCGGUUCACAGGAUAAAGCGAAGACGUCAGGUCGAAUUGGAGUUCACGCCAUAAGUGACUUAGCUUAUGAUUCAACACCUGCAUUUCUUGAGGAUCAUGGAUUCAGUUCUGUUCCAAAAUCUGUAGCUUAUGGAUAUACAGCUUCCGGAUAUGGAUUUGUUCAAGAUAUGCCAUAUGCUUACAUUCAUGAAUUCACCAGAACAUCUAUGGCCGGUAAAAUUAGACGUUUCAAAGGUGGAUACAUGAGUAUGUGGCAAAAAAUUAGUGAAUCCCUCCCCAUAGAAGUCCUCUGCAACACAGAAGUAGUAGCAAUCAGGCGCAACUCAUCAGGUGUCAACAUUAAAGUCAAACAGAAUGACGGAAACUUGAUAACUAGGGAAUUCGAUAAAGUCAUAAUAUCUGGAUCAUUUCCCUUCAAGAAUGGGAGAACAUAUAGAUCACCGUCAUUGUUGGAAGAAGGUUUGAGAUUUUACUCAUUUUGCUGCUUCCAUCUAGCUUUAAACUGUGUUUAGUAGCUAAACAAUAAAUUUUAUCUUACAGAUGCUGAUGAUGAAAUCCUGGAUUUCAGUGAACUUGAAAAGGAAUUGUUUAGGAAAGUGCAGACUAUUGACUACUACACAACUGUCAUGAAGAUUAAGGGUCUGGAACAUCUGCCGGUCGGGUUCUUUUACUUUGGGGAGUUCAUGGAUGAUCCUGAAACUAUAGGAAAUCCGGUGGCUCUGCAGAAAUUCUAUUCUGAUACCAAUAUCUUCCUAUUCUGGUCAUAUGGCAACUCAGCCAAUGUCAGAGGACAAGAAGUCACUCAGCUAGCAAUUGAUGCAGUCAAAAGAAUGGGGGGAGAAAUUGAAAUGGUAAUUCUACAACAGAGAUUCAAAUAUUUCCCUCAUGUUGAAAGCCAAGGUAGAGUCCACAUCUUGAUGAGAUUCUGUUUUGCCUCCCAUAUUUACAGCUACUAAUUUCAUUCUACUUUAAUAUAGUUAUGAAAGGUGGGUUCUACGAGAAACUAGAAACUGAACUUCAAGGCCAGCAGAAUACUUACUACAUAGGUGGACUCAUGGCAUUUGAGCUUACGGAGAGGAAUUCAUCCUACGCUAUGGGGUUGGUUUGCAAGCACUUUGCAACUGAUGAAUUAAUUCCAAGGUUUCCUUAUGUAAAGGUACUUGAUACUGUCAAUUCUUAAAGAUCAAACUCAGAUUACAGAAUAAAUGCUUAUUUACUUACUUGACCUUCAUUUCUGUAGAGAUUGUUUACACUGAAGUCAGAGUGCCGGGAUAAGAUCCCUAGAGAGCUUGAUGAAUCUAAGGGAUUAGAAUUUCCAGAUCUAUCCAGCCUUGAUUGCUAUUUGAAAUACUGGGGAAAUCAUAACAUCAGUUGCAACAAAAUCCUUUAUAGAUGGAUAAAUGAUGAAGGAGAAGUGAUGGGCCAAAGAACUUUUGGAGAACUUCAUGCUAAUGCUGCUUGCAUUGCUGAGAAGCUAUUGUCUAGCAGAAAACCAGUCAUCAAUCCAGGUGACAGGGUCCUUCUUGUUCAUGUCCCAGGUCUGGAUUUUAUUGAUGCCUUUUUUGGGUGUUUAAGAGCCAGAGUAUUGCCAGUCCCAGCUCUUCCCCCUGAUCCACUUCAAAGAGGUGGACAAGCACUUUUGAAGAUAGAGAAUAUUGCAAAAUCAUGCAAGGCGGUGGCAAUUCUCUCCACCGUAGGUUAUCAAUUAGCUGUUAGAGCAGGCUCCGUGAAGAAUUUGAUAUCGUUGCCCAAUAAAAAUGGAAAGGGCUCGGGUCGCUGGCCUAAUCUUCCUUGGUUACACACUGAUUCUUGGGUGAAAAACUCCAAAGAUGCGCCUUCAGUAAGUAUAGAUUGUAAUUCAGUGCCACGUGCUGAUGAACUAUGCUUUCUCCAAUUCACAUCAGGAUCAACUGGAGACGCAAAAGGUGUUGUUAUAACUCAUAGUGGGCUAAUUCAUAAUGUGAAGCUAAUGCAAAGGAGAUACCAUAGCACAUCAAACACAGUACUUAUCAGCUGGCUCCCCCAAUACCAUGACAUGGGACUGAUUGGUGGGCUUUUCACAGCUCUGGUUAGUGGUGGAACUGCUAUCUUGUUCUCCCCGAUGACAUUCAUUAAGAACCCUCUCCUGUGGCUUGAAACUAUCAGCAAGUACAGGGGAACUCAUAGUGCAGGCCCCAACUUCUCUUUUGAACUUGUAGUACGAAGGUUGGAGGUUGAGAAGAAUAAGAUUCGGAAGUAUGACCUUUCCUCCAUGAUUUUUCUGAUGAUUGCUGCUGAACCAGUAAGGCAGAAAACUCUAAAAAGAUUCAUUGAGCUAACAAGUCCUUAUGGCCUUUCCCAAUAUGUGAUGGCUCCUGGCUAUGGAUUGGCAGAAAACUGUGUGUUUGUCAGUUGCGCUUAUGGGGAAGGAAAACCUAUUGUGGUGGAUUGGCAAGGAAGGGUAUGUUGUGGGUAUGUAAAUCCAAACGAUACAGAUGUAAACAUUAGAAUAGUGGAUCCAGAAACUGGUGAAGAGCAGAAAGAAUCUGGAAAGGAAGGAGAAAUAUGGAUUAGUAGUCCAAGUGCAGGAAUUGGGUACUGGGGCAGGGAGGAACUCAGUGAAAGCACUUUUAGGAAUAAGCUUGAGAAUCAUCCCGGUGCAAGCUACACAAGAACUGGGGAUCUAGGACGAAUAAUUAACGGGAAUUUGUUCAUUACUGGAAGAAUCAAGGAUCUUAUAAUAGUUGCAGGAAGAAAUAUCUAUUCGGCUGAUGUAGAGAAGACUGUUGAGAGCUCAUGUGAACUGCUGCGCCCUGGUUGCUGUGCUGUCAUUGGGGUUCCUGAGGAUAUAUUAUCGGCAAAAGGGAUACCAAUAUCAGAUACGUCUGAUCAGGUGGGGUUGGUAGUGAUUGCAGAAACUAGAGAUGGUAAACCAGCAAGUAAAGACGAUUUUGAGAAAAUAAAGGCCAAGGUUGCAGAAGAACACGGUGUGAAUUUGGCUUCUGUUAAGUUGAUUAAACCAAGAACUAUCAGCAAGACAACAUCUGGAAAAAUCAAAAGGUUUGAAUGCCUCAAACAAUUCACUGAUGAGACACUGAAUUUGGUACCAGAACCAAAGAUCCCAAAGAGAUUACUUUUACGGUCCAAUACUACAGGAACAUGUAGGGAUGGUCAUACUCCUCGAAAGCAUCUGAAGACAAAUCUACCUUCACCAGGUACAAAAUUAGGUGGCAGAGAAAUUGUGGAGUUUUUAAAGGAACUUAUCUCUGAGCAAACUGGUAUUCCAGUCAGUAAGAUCUCCACAACUGCAAACCUUACAUCUUAUGGCAUCGAUUCCAUAGGGGUGGUCAGAGCAGCUCAAAAGCUUUCGGAUUAUCUUGGGGUGCCAGUUGGGGCAGUUGAUAUUUUCACAGCAACCAGCAUUGAAGAUUUGGCUAGCUUCUCAGAAGAUAUUGUCACGAAAUCUCAGCCUCAAGACAUGAGAAUUUCUGCAUCUCUUCCAGAACCUGAGGUUAAUUUUUCUGAGUUACUGACUGAAGUUUCCUUAUCUCACCAAUUGGGUAUCAUGUCAUUGCAAUUUCUUGCCCUCAUAUAUGUCUCCAUCUUGCUGAUCCUUCCUGCAUAUUUAUCAAUAUCUGUAUUUCUGAAGAUGAUUUCUGCCUCUCAUAAUUUGAUAAAUGGAACUCCAUGGGCACCUUACAUGCUUUCCCUGGCAUUUGCACCUCUUGCAUGGAUCCUCUGCAUAUUUUCUACAUGCAGUUGUAUUGCUCUUUUCGGGAAUUCAUUCCUUCAACCGAACUAUGCCUUAAUUCCUGAAAUUUCCAUAUGGUCAUUGGAUUACGUCAAGUGGUGGACACUAUACAAAGCUCAAGAGGUUUCAUCAAAAGUUCUGGCCGUGCAUUUGAAAGGAACAGUGUUACUGAAUUACUGGUUUCAGAUGUUUGGAGCUAAGAUAGGAUCAUGUGUUGUACUUGAUACUGUUGAUAUCACUGAUCCAGCUCUAGUUUCUAUUGGAGAUGGAGUGGUAAUUGCAGAGGGAGUAUUAAUCCAAGGCCAUGAAAUGAGGAAUGGAAUCUUGAGCUUCCAUCCAAUUAGAAUUGGAAAAAGUUCUUCAAUUGCUCCUUAUGCUGCAAUCCAAAGAGGAAGCGUGCUGGGAGAAGGAACUGAAGUACCUGCUUUGCAAAUCACUGAUGAAGGAAAACCCAUUUCAAAAUCCAAGGCUAAUAACAUUCAGAAGGUAAACUCUAAUUGUCCCUGUCACAUAUGCAAUACCCAGUCAUUAAAGAUAUCUUUCAUUCUAAGAAUUUAAAUGUCUAGUUCCAUAUCAAAUACAUACACCACAAUGUAUUUCUUCUUCCUAUGACUAUAAAAUAACCUUGUCAAACAACUCACCCUCGGUCUUUUUUCAUCUGGGUGCAUUAUCCUAUUAGCAAUGAAAAAUUUCUAUAAUAAUUUGAAGCACAACAUUUGAUUAUCAAUGGGAAAAAUAGUUUAACAAUCUUAAGAUUGAAAUUGAUUACCAGUUACUUUACUCCACUGUGGGUGACAGGUUAUGGAACUUUCGAAGGUGAUAGGUGACACUCAAUAUCAGACUAUUCACC
rnacentral:lncRNA from 1 species